ACGGGAGGCAGCAGUGGGGAAUAUUGGGCAAUGGGGGCAACCCUGACCCAGCAACGCCGCGUGAAGGAAGAAGGCUUUCGGGUUGUAAACUUCUUUUACCAGGGACGAAGAAAGUGACGGUACCUGGAGAAAAAGCCACGGCUAACUACGUGCCAGCAGCCGCGGUAAUACGUAGGUGGCAAGCGUUGUCCGGAUUUACUGGGUGUAAAGGGCGUGUAGGCGGAGCUGCAAGUCAGAUAUGAAAUCCCGGGGCUCAACCCCGGAACUGCAUUUGAAACUGUAGCCCUUGAGUAUCGGAGAGGCAAGCGGAAUUCCUAGUGUAGCGGUGAAAUGCGUAGAUAUUAGGAAGAACACCAGUGGCGAAGGCGGUUAGCUGGACAAUAACUGACGCUGAGGCGCGAAAGCGUGGGUAGCAAACAGGAUUAGAUACCCUGGUA
rnacentral:rRNA from 1 species